GCUUAGAAGCAGCCACUCAUUAAAAGAGUGCGUAAUAGCUCACUGGUCGAGUGACUCUGCGCCGAAAAUUUAACGGGGCUAAACUAUACACCGAAGCUUGGGAUACAUCUAAUGUAUGGUAGGAGAGCGUUCUGUAUGGGGAGAAGUCGUAGCGAAAGCGGCGGUGGACUAUACAGAAGUGAGAAUGCCGGAAUAAGUAGCGAGAAUUAAGUGAGAAUCUUAAUGGCCGAAAGUCUAAGGUUUUUGGAGGAAGGUUCGUCCGCUCCAAGUAAGUCGGGAGCUAAGGUCAGGCCGAAAGGCGUAGCCGAUGCACAUACGGUUGAUAUUCCGUAACCAUCUGUAAUUUAAGCAAAGGGACACUUCAAAAGGGUGUGACCCGGGCGUUGGUUGACCCGGGCGUAAGGGACCGAAAUUAGAGUAGGGAAGCACACUUAGCUGAAGGCGAGAAAAGCUUUGCGUAUAGAAACAGAUGCCCGUACCGCAAACCGACACAGGUGGACAGGAAGAGAAUUCUAAGGCCAGCGGGAGAAGGGUAGUUAAGGAACUCGGCAAAUUGACUCCGUAACUUCGGAAUAAGGAGUGCUCGAAAGAGCCGCAGAGAAUAGGCCCAGGCGACUGUUUAGCAAAAACACAGGUCUCUGCCAAAUCGAAAGAUGAAGUAUAGGGGCUGACACCUGCCCGGUGCCGGAAGGUUAAGAGGAGGAGUGAGAGCUCCGAAUUGAAGCCCCGGUAAACGGCGGCCGUAACUAUAACGGUCCUAAGGUAGCGAAAUUCCUUGUCGGGUAAGUUCCGACCCGCACGAAUGGUGUAACGAUCUGGGCACUGUCUCAACUACCCACCCGGCGAAAUUGUAGUACCGGUGAAGAUGCCGGUUACCUGCGGCAAGACGGAAAGACCCCAUGGAGCUUUACUGUAGCCUGAUAUUGGGUUUCGGAAAUCUAUGUACAGGAUAGGCGGGAGACUGGGAAACAUGAGCGUCAGCUUGUGUGGAGUCGAUGUUGGGAUACCGCCCUUAGGUUUCUGGAAUUCUAACCUGCGGCCGUGAAUCCGGUCGGGGGACAUUGUCAGGUGGGCAGUUUGACUGGGGCGGUCGCCUCCGAAAAGGUAACGGAGGCGCUCAAAGGUUAGCUCAGCACGGACGGAAACCGUGCCUCUGAGUGUAAACGCAAAAGCUAGCCUAACUGCGAGGGUGACGGCCCGAGCAGUAACGAAAGUUGGAGUUAGUGAUCCGGCGGUAUGUGAAUGGAAAUGCCGUCGCUCAACGGAUAAAAGCUACCCUGGGGAUAACAGGCUGAUCUCCCCCAAGAGUCCACAUCGACGGGGAGGUUUGGCACCUCGAUGUCGGCUCAUCACAUCCUGGGGCUGUAUUCGGUCCCAAGGGUUCGGCUGUUCGCCGAUUAAAGUGGUACGCGAGCUGGGUUCAGAACGUCGCGAGACAGUUCGGUCCCUAUCUGUCGUGGGCGCAGGAUAUUUGAGGAGCUCUGUCCUUAGUACGAGAGGACCGGGAUGGACGUACCUCUGGUGCACCAGUUGUCAUGCCAAUGGCACGGCUGGGCAGCUAUGUACGGAACGGAUAAACGCUGAAAGCAUCUAAGCGUGAAGCCGACUCCAAGAUUAGAUAUCCCAUCGUAUAACGAGUAAGACCCCUUGAAGACUACGAGGUUGAUAGGCUGCGUGUGUAAGUGCCGUGAGGCAUUCAGCUUGGCAGUACUAAUAGGUCGAGGGCUUGACCA
rnacentral:rRNA from 1 species